UACGGAGGGUGCAAGCGUUGUCCGGAUUUAUUGGGUUUAAAGGGUGCGUAGGCGGCCAUUUAAGUCUGGGGUGAAAGCCCGUUGCUCAACAACGGAACUGCCCUGGAAACUGGAUGGCUUGAGUACAGACGAGGGUGGCGGAAUGGAUGCUGUAGCGGUGAAAUGCAUAGAUAGCAUCCAGAACCCCGAUUGCGAAGCAGCUGCCUAGACUGUAACUGACGUGGAGGCA
rnacentral:rRNA from 1 species